AGUGGCGCACGGGUGAGUAACGCGUAAAUUAACUACCCUGGCAUCUGGAAUAACCCACCGAAAGGUGUGCUAAUACCGGAUACGCUGAUUUAUCAGGAAAGGUGGCCUCUGAUUCAAGCUACUGUGCCAGGAGGAGUUUGCGUACCAUUAGCUAGUUGGUAGGGUAAAGGCCUACCAAGGCGACGAUGGUUAGCGGGUCUGAGAGGAUGAUCCGCCACACUGGAACUGGAACACGGACCAGACUCCUACGGGAGGCAGCAGUGAGGAAUAUUGCGCAAUGGGGGAAACCCUGACGCAGCGACGCCGCGUGGAUGAUGAAGGUUUUCGGAUCGUAAAAUCCUGUCAGAUGGGAAGAAAUGUUAUAUGUUUAAUAUACAUAUAAUUUGACGGUACCAUCAAAGGAAGCACCGGCUAACUCCGUGCCAGCAGCCGCGGUAAUACGGAGGGUGCAAGCGUUGUUCGGAAUUACUGGGCGUAAAGCGCGCGUAGGCGGUUUGUUAAGUCAGAUGUGAAAGCCCAUGGCUCAACCAUGGACGUGCAUUUGAUACUGGCAAACUUGAGUAUCAGAGGGGAUAGUGGAAUUCCCGGUGUAGAGGUGAAAUUCGUAGAUAUCGGGAGGAAUACCGGUGGCGAAGGCGACUAUCUGGCUGAAUACUGACGCUGAGGUGCGAAAGCGUGGGGAGCAAACAGGAUUAGAUACCCUGGUAGUCCACGCCGUAAACGAUGUCAACUAGAUGUUGGAGUGGUUAAUCGCUUCAUUGUCGCA
rnacentral:rRNA from 1 species